rnacentral:rRNA from 1 species
UACGUAGGGUGCAAGCGUUAUCCGGAAUCACUGGGUUUAAAGGGUGCGUAGGCGGCUUAGUAAGUCAGGAGUGAAAGCCUGCGGCUUAACCGUAGAAUUGCUUUUGAUACUGCUGAGCUUGAAUUAGGUUGAGGUUGGCGGAAUGUGACAUGUAGCGGUGAAAUGCAUAGAUAUGUCAUAGAACACCAAUUGCGAAGGCAGCUGACUAGACCUUAAUUGACGCUGAGGCACGAAAGCGUGGGGAGCGAACAGG